AGCGGAUGACUUGUGGCUGGGGGUGAAAGGCCAAUCAAACCGGGAGAUAGCUGGUUCUCCCCGAAAGCUAUUUAGGUAGCGCCUCGUGAACUCAUCUUCGGGGGUAGAGCACUGUUUCGGCUAGGGGGUCAUCCCGACUUACCAACCCGAUGCAAACUGCGAAUACCGAAGAAUGUUAUCACGGGAGACACACGGCGGGUGCUAACGUCCGUCGUGAAGAGGGAAACAACCCAGACCGCCAGCUAAGGUCCCAAAGUCACAGUUAAGUGGGAAACGAUGUGGGAAGGCUCAGACAGCCAGGAUGUUGGCUUAGAAGCAGCCAUCAUUUAAAGAAAGCGUAAUAGCUCACUGGUCGAGUCGGCCUGCGCGGAAGAUGUAACGGGGCUAAACUGUGCACCGAAGCUGCGGCAGCGACGCUUAUGCGUUGUUGGGUAGGGGAGCGUUCUGUAAGCCUGCGAAGGUGUCCUGUGAGGGAUGCUGGAGGUAUCAGAAGUGCGAAUGCUGACAUAAGUAACGAUAAUGCGGGUGAAAAGCCCGCUCGCCGGAAGACCAAGGGUUCCUGUCCAACGUUAAUCGGGGCAGGGUGAGUCGACCCCUAAGGCGAGGCCGAAAGGCGUAGUCGAUGGGAAACGGGUUAAUAUUCCCGUACUUGGUGUUACUGCGAAGGGGGGACGGAGAAGGCUAUGUUGGCCGGGCGACGGUUGUCCCGGUUUAAGCGUGUAGGCUGGUUUUCCAGGCAAAUCCG
rnacentral:rRNA from 1 species